GGUGCUCAAAAUAACAAUUUACCGAUAUUUGCAAGAAUUUGUAAUAACCAGCAAUAUCUUCAUGUUGAAAUAGAAAAUACUUAAUGAUUUUCUCGUAUAUAUAAUAGCAUGUCUUUAAAAUAAUUCUCUUUUUAAUGUGUCGUUUGUCUGCAUUCGGCUUCAGCCAAGCGCUUGCACUCGGUGACACGGAAUUUUGUUUAUAUCUAAAAACGUGGCGACAUCAGCUGAGAUUUGCAGUGGAUUUAAAUGCAAUAGCCACACAAUCUUUAAAGAAAAUAGAGAUAAAAUAAGAGACACGGCAUUGUUCUUCCUUUUACGAGAAUAUGAGGACAUUAUUUCGGCAAAUAGCAGAAAACUGAGACGAUAUGCACAAGCUCCGUAGAUCCAUCACUGCACUGAAAUUCCAGGCCAGCUGUCAAGAGUAUCAGGCUUAAAGAAUGAAUAAAUAAAAAAUGCAUCAUUUCUCCACAGGGCAUAGCUAUUCCCUAGGACUAAUGGAUUCAUUCAGGCAGGAAGUUAAUCUAUCAUUUAAGAAAAAUGAAUUCAUUUUAUCCACAAGAACAUGAAGUGAUGGAAAUAAUUUGCACCUGCCCAGCAUUCCUAGGCCUACAGUCUAUCAUUGGAUUUGAAAAGAAAUGUUUAUUUAAUAAUUUGUCUAGAUAAAUAAAAUAAUUUGACUUUUUAAUUUAUUUACUGUUCAUGUGUUGA